GCAGAAUGAGGGGCUGCAGAUUAUCAUCACGAUAAUCUAUGGUCCAUGCAUCCUGUCAUAUUGUGCCGACAGCAGGUUGCCCUUGGCAUCGGCAAGAGGGACUGACAUAUUGUAAGAGUUAACCGGUGUGGAGAGAGGAGAACAAUUCAAAACAUGCAGCAAUGGGAUCAAGGAAGUCAACCAAUGAACGAUCUCGCCGUUCGCUUAUAUUAAUUCCUUCGGGGAAUCAUAUCGCAGCGAUCCAGGAGUAUGGCGGAGCAAGGUCAAAGCGUUUGAAGUGAUAUGUCUUCACAGCAUAUUAUUUGUUACCAGCCGCAACAACAGAAUUACGAGUCCUAUUUGAUCAGGGGGAUGAGUUCAUGAGCACAAAUGUUUAACUUUGAAGAGCUUCCACGUACAAAUUUUCCACAUA
rnacentral:sRNA from 1 species